GGGGCAGGGUCCGCAGCUGCGCAGAGAAUGAAAUGGAGGGUCCAACACUGACAAGGCAGGCCUCUCCUCAGGAUGAAAACCUUGGCAGGGGAUGAAUGUUGAGCCAUCCACUAGAGCUUGGGAAAGCUACCCCUAGCCACUCUCCUAAAGAAAACUUACUUUCCUACACCUCUGGCAGCCAUCAAUGGCCAGGCUCACAGAGAAAAACAGCACACAUUCUCUCUAACAGAUUCCCAGUUUCUCUCAUUGAAGAUUUUAUUAGAGAAGAAAAAUUUUAUACCAAGUGUAUUUAUGCCCACAACCAUGUAAAAAUGUGACCACAGGAAGAAUACAGGAGAAGUGAAGUAAUAAAGGGGAGGAUGUGAAGAGACACAGCUAGCAAGUAUGUGCCAUCCUGUCAGCCACAGAUGGCUCAACCCCAGUUUAUCUGGGCCAGAAAUGAAGAUGUGGAAUGGCCAAGGCUGAGGACUGAACAUCUAGGCUAUUUCUGCCAAGCCUGAUAGCCCAGUUCAUGUGGUAGAAGAAACUAGCUUGUUGAGUCAUUUCAGUUCAACAUGGAAUUAAACGCCCAAGCCACAGCAGAAGCCUCAAGGGGACCUGACCAGCUGAGCCAUCAGGAAAACUUCCUCCAUGGAUAUUAAUCUAUAUUCCAGAACAGAGAAACAAGUGAGUGGUGCAUAGAUUAAAUAUUUGAUAUCAGGUAUUACUAUUAAGUAUAUUCAGCCUCUAUAAAACUGUAGAGGAUGUCAUGAGUUUUUAUAAGAGUGUGUGGAGCAUUAGAGGAGUUGGUAGGCAGAGGAAGGGUACACAUGAUGUAAAUACAGCACCCAUGCAUGAAAUUCUAAAAAAAACCCAACAACAUAAAAACAUAUUAGAAAGCCUCAGAAUACUGUUUACACAGAGUUCACUAUACAUUGUCCUAUAACUUGAUAUUUUGACCUUUGUUUCUCAAUUGCUCUUUUGAAAGUUAUUUCACAAAUUUACUUCACUUAGCUGUAUGCCCCUUAGAGUUUUCAGACUGUCUUAAAAGUAUUUAGAUUUGUGCUUCCUCCAAACUAAAAAUAUUGAUUUUUUUAUUCUCUUUUUGUAUCUUUGUAAAACUACUUUGGAGACAUGUCUGUUUAAGGAAUUAUUUAUGUAGAGCUCUGGGAACCCCACAGAAGAGGAGGAGGAAAGACUGUAGGAGUCAGAAGGGAUGGAGGACCAGGAGGAUGGAGCCCACUGAAUCAGUAAGAAGGUCUGAUAUGGGCUUCCAGUGACUGAAGUGGCAAACACGGAGUCUUCAAGGGUCUGUACUUGGGUCCUCUGAGUGUAUGGGUCUCACCAUACUGCUCAUGACAACCUCUGACUCGGGCCCUGAGGAGGUGCUUCUCCCCUGUCUCCUUUGGAGCAUUCACUGAAGACACAGACCCCACACCUAGCUGGUGGUCAAUGUCCAGUAAAUGUUCUGUGAAGUGGUAUCCACCUGUAUUUUCUCUGUUAUAAUGCUGGGAAAGCACUGAGCCUUUUUAGAAUCUUAGGAAUGUGAGGUAUUUAUGAUACAGUCUGACUGCUGCUCAGUGAAGUUACAACUCAAGCACUGAAUCCACGCUUUCUCUCAGCAUCCUGAGAAGCUCACACUGGACACUGCUGUUCUCAGCUUAUGGAGCUGGUCACUCAAGAGUAGUCACAAAGAAUGGAUGAUGUGAUGGACCAUGUGGAGGAAGAUUGAAGAGGCAGAGAAAUGACAUCAAUUAAUCUGGUCAGGAGGGAGAUUUGCUCCAUGUGGAUGUCUAGAUGGAUCACAUUGAUGUUGUGGGAAUGAGAGUCCACUAGAAAUCUGAAGGAUUCCCUGUCUUGGAUGAAUGGACCCUUUUGCGGGGACACAUUGCUCAGCCUGGAAGGAGGGGACUGGACCUGCCUGGACUGAAUCUACCAGGACCUCAUCAUUUGCUGACUCAGUCACGAAGGAGGUGCUUCUCUGCCUUCUCCUGGGAAGCUUUUGCUGAAGACACAGACCUCAUACCUAGCUGGUGGUAUUGUAAUUUGAGGGACUUCCUGCCUUUUAAUUUUAAUUAUUAGUUUCUUGUGUGUGAAACUCAGUUAAGUUUUAUGUUUAUGUGCAUUAGGAUGUUUGCUGACCAUACUUUUAAAUCCAUACAUUUUUGUGAAUGUCUUAAUAUUUCUGUAGAAAUUGCAUGGUGUUCUUUCCACCUAGAUGUAGUGUAUAUUUCUUGCCAUAGAAACUGUUCAUUCUCUCCACCAAUUUCUCUGAGGAUAGUGUCCGGUAAAUGACUGUGAAGUGGCAUUCAUUUGUAUCUUUCCUUGUCUAGCUUUGGGGAAUGUACUGAAACUUUUAGGAUUCUAGGUAUUCCAUUCCAUUGAAAUUCAUGAAAUUCAUGUAUACAUGACCUGAUAUGUCGAGUCUUUUAUUUUUAUUGGAUUAAUCUCUCUUAA